rnacentral:rRNA from 1 species
AUACGUAGGGAGCGAGCGUUGUCCGGAUUUACUGGGUGUAAAGGGUGCGUAGGCGGCUCUGCAAGUCAGGUGUGAAAACUAUCGGCUUAACUGAUAGACUGCAUUUGAAACUGUGGAGCUUGAGUGGAGCAGAGGCAGAUGGAAUUCCCGGUGUAGCGGUGAAAUGCGUAGAGAUCUGGAGGAAUACCGGUGGCGAAGGCGGCCCCCUGGACAAAGACUGACGCUCAGGUGCGAAAGCGUGGGGAGCAAACAGGAUUAGAUACCCUGGUAGCCCAUGCCGUAAACGAUGAUUACUAGGUGUGGGGGGUCUGACCCCUUCCGUGCCGGAGUUAACACAAUAAGUAAUCCACCUGGGGAGUACGACCGCAAGGUUGAA